UGGGGAAUAUUGCGCAAUGGGCGCAAGCCUGAUCCAGCCAUGCCGCGUGAGUGAAGAAGGCCUUCGGGUUGUAAAGCUCUUUUUACCAGGGACGAUAAUGACGGUACCUGGAGAAUAAGCCCCGGCAAACUUCGUGCCAGCAGCCGCGGUAAUACGAAGGGGGCUAGCGUUGUUCGGAAUUACUGGGCGUAAAGAGCUCGUAGGCGGUUCAGUAAGUCGGGUGUGAAAACUUUGGGCUUAACCCAAAGCGUGCAUCCGAUACUGCUGUGACUUGAGUACGGUAGGGGAGCGGGGAAUUCCUAGUGUAGCGGUGAAAUGCGCAGAUAUUAGGAGGAACACCGGUGGCGAAGGCGCCGCUCUGGGCCGAAACUGACGCUGAGGAGCGAAAGCAUGGGUAGCAAACAGGAUUAGAUACCCCCGUAGUCCCUGAGCGGGCUGGCAAGGCGCAU
rnacentral:rRNA from 1 species